rnacentral:rRNA from 1 species
GCCAAACAACUAGCUUAACCAUCAAUAUAAUUUAACAAUAUCAAUUAAAAAGCAAAGAUUAACCCUGUAAACUAAACCAUUUUUUUACCUGAGUAUGGGAGACAGAAAAGGUUCACCUAAAGCUAUAGAAAAAGUACCGCAAGGAAAGUUGAAAGAGAAAUGAAAUAACCCAUAUAAGCACUAAAAAACAAAGACUAGACCUUGUACCUUUUGCAUCAUGAUUUAGCCAGUACCCUCAAGCAAAAAGAUUUUUAGUUUGAUACCCCGAAACCAGGUGAGCUACCCCGAGACAGCCUAUAUAAUUUAGGGCUAACCCGUCUCUGUGGCAAAAGAGUGGGAAGAGCUCCGGGUAGAGGCGACAAACCUACCGAACCUGGUGAUAGCUGGUUGCCUAAGAAAUGAAUAGAAGUUCAGCCUCAUAUACCCUUAAUCAAAAACCAUGUCACUAAGAUAAUAUGGAUACAUAUGAGAGUUAGUUAAAGGGGGUACAGCCCCUUUAACAAAGGAUACAACCUUAACAGGAGGAUAAAGAUCAUAAUAAAUAAAAUAUAUCGUUCUAGUGGGCCUGGAGGCAGCCACCUAACCAGAAAGCGUUAAAGCUCAGACAAAAAGAAAUUUACUAUCCCGAUAAAAAAUCUUACUCCCCUAACUGUAUUAGGCCAACCCAUGCCUACAUGGGUGAGACCAUGCUAAAAUGAGUAAUAAGAAGACCUGAUCUUCUCCCGCCGCAAGUGUAAAUCAGAUCGGACAAACCACUGAAAUUUAACGAGCCCAAU